GAGGAAAAGCAAAAUGCUCUGAGACACACUUUCAAGUAUACUGCUUAUAAGGAAUGGCAUGUGGAUAAAGAGAGGAAAAGACAUCACCGUGUUCUCACUUUAACUUUACAUAAUGUCUCACAACUCCCAAAACACUGCUCUGGAGUGAAGUGUUUUAACCUGCCUUUUGUUAUGAAUUACUUGGCUGGGUAACAGACAGGCAGCCUGGGAUCAUUUCUUUUUGUAUGUCUUUUUCUUUUUCUUUGUUUUUUUUUUAAGCCAUCAACAUCUUUCAGUGCUAUUUGGAAUGCUGAGAGAAUGCUUUGUUCCAUUCCCAUUUAUCAAUCGAAUACUUCAUGAAGUUUAAUUAAAAUUAAGUCAAAAAUAUUCUCUGUAUUUGUAUAAACCUUAAAUUUGUUAACCUGUUAUUGGAUUUUCAAAAAUACCUGUUUAGAAAACUG
rnacentral:lncRNA from 1 species